CCGAGUGCGGGCUCCUCGCGAGCCCUACCUCCCACCCGUGUCUACCAUCACCGCGUUGCUUUGGCGGGCCCACUGAGGCCUUGUUCUCGGUCGCCGGGGGACUACCAUCCCCGGGCCCGUGCCCGCCGGAGCGCCUUUGAACCCUGUGUGAACAGUGAGUCUGAGUAUCUAUUGAAUUAUUA
rnacentral:misc_RNA from 1 species